rnacentral:rRNA from 1 species
GAGCUAAUCCCUUAAAGCUACUCUCAGUUCGGAUUGUAGGCUGAAACUCGCCUACAUGAAGCUGGAGUUACUAGUAAUCGCAGAUCAGAAUGCUGCGGUGAAUGCGUUCCCGGGUCUUGUACACACCGCCCGUCACACCACGGGAGUUGGAGACGCCCGAAGCCGAUUAUCUAACCUUUUGGAAGAAGUCGUCGAAGGUGGAAUCAAUAACUGGGGUGAAGUCGUAACAAGGUAGCCGUAUCGGAAGGUGCGGCUGGAUCACCUCCUUUCUAAGGAGA